rnacentral:tRNA from 1 species
UCUCUGGUAGUAUAUCGGUUAGUACACGCGCCUGUCAUAUUUGAUGCAUACCAGAAUUCGCGCGAAAGCUGGGUUCGACUCCCAGCCAGAGAG